GACGAACGCUGGCGGCGUGCUUAACACAUGCAAGUCGAACGGAAAGGCCCUGCUUUUGUGGGGUGCUCGAGUGGCGAACGGGUGAGUAACACGUGAGUAACCUGCCCUUGACUUUGGGAUAACUUCAGGAAACUGGGGCUAAUACCGGAUAGGAGCUCCUGCUGCAUGGUGGGGGUUGGAAAGUUUCGGCGGUUGGGGAUGGACUCGCGGCUUAUGAGCUUGUUGGUGGGGUAGUGGCUUACCAAGGCUUUGACGGGUAGCCGGCCUGGGAGGGUGACCGGCCACAUUGGGACUGAGAUACGGCCCAGACGCCUACGGGAGGCAGCAGUGGGGAAUAUUGCACAAUGGGCCGACGCCUGAUGCAGCAACGCCGCGUGCGGGAUGACGGCCUUCGGGUUGUAAACCGCUUUCGCCUGUGACGAAGCGUGAGUGACGGUAAUGGGUAAAGAAGCACCGGCUAACUACGUG
rnacentral:rRNA from 1 species